rnacentral:lncRNA from 1 species
AUCCAGAAUUUUGCAGAACAUAGAAGUCAGAGCAGGCAAGAUCCCCCGGGACCGUCUGCUCUCCUCUUGAAAAGUGGUUCAACUGAGGCCCCGCGUGAGGGCUUUUUCUGGCCAGGGCAGCGGCCUGAGGGCCUCAGGGUGAUUCACCAGCAUGUCUGGGCUGUUCUGCCAGAUGCAGCCCCUGGGAGGGCUGUGGGAGGGGCCAGGUCCCCCUGUCUGCUCCUGGCCAUGCACACAUGGACUUGAAGGCUCUGAGAAGCCCUGCAGUAGGCUCCUGUGCCCUGGGCUGGGAGGCUCCCUAACUCGGAGCCUCCUGUUCUGUCACAGGCCUCCCGGGACCUGGGGGCAGAGCAGACGGGCUGGGCUGGCAGAGGGUACGGUCUGUGCCACACCUGCUCCUUCCCGAGCCUGACCCUGAUCCAGACACACUAGGUCUUCCCUGUUUGUCUGUCUGCCUGCUGGUCCUGCAUUAGCCAGUUUUACAGAUGCAAAGACUGAGACCCCAGAGCCCAGGGGCAAGCCCAGAGCUGCCGUCACCCUGUGGAUCUGUGCCCUUCCCACUCCUGCCUAGUCCUCACCUGCCUGGCAGAGGGUCCAGGCCAGGGCCACUGUCCAGAGGGACCCUUCCAGGAUCCCUGCCCGUGAGCAUCCUGGUCCCUUUAAGAGCCUGGCCCCUCCCCUGCUGUCCUGGUUCCCUGGGAGAGGGCAGUGAGGGGGCAGGCGGGGGCGAGCGGAAGG